UACGUAGGGGGCUAGCGUUGUCCGGAAUCAUUGGGCGUAAAGAGCGUGUAGGCGGCUCGGUAAGUCCGCUGUGAAAGUCCAGGGCUCAACCCUGGGAUGCGGAUGGAUACUGUCGAGCUCGAGUCCGGAAGAGGCGAGUGGAAUUCCUGGUGUAGCGGUGAAAUGCGCAGAUAUCAGGAAGAACACCCGUGGCUAAGGCGGCUCUCUAGUACGGUACUGACGCUGAGACGCGAAAGCGUGGGGAGCGAACAGG
rnacentral:rRNA from 1 species